rnacentral:rRNA from 1 species
UUUAACUGAGCGUUCAGUUACUUGACGUAGACCCGAAACCGGGCGACCUACCCAUGAGCAGGAUGAAGCGAAAGUAAAAUUUCGUGGAGGUCCGAACCCACGAGCGUUGAAAAGCUCGGGGAUGACUUGUGGGUAGCGGUGAAAUUCCAAUCGAGCCCGGAGAUAGCUGGUUCUCCCCGAAAUAGCUUUAGGGCUAGCCUCAAGGUGAGAGAUACGGAGGUAGAGCACUGAAUGUCCUAGGGGGUAUUGCACCUACCGAAGACUAUCAAACUCCGAAUGCCGUCAUCUUAUACUUGGGAGUCAGACUGUGGGUGAUAAGAUUCAUAGUCGAAAGGGCAACAGCCCAGAUCGUCAGCUAAGGUCCCUAAAUGUAAGUUAAGUGGUAAAGGAUGUGGGAUUGCACAGACAACCAGGAUGUUGGCUUAGAAGCAGCCACUCAUUCAAAGAGUGCGUAAUAGCUCACUGGUCGAGUGAUCCUGCGCCGAAGAUUUCCGGGGCUAAAACUUACUACCGAAGCUACGGCAUCAGUAAUGAUGGGUAGGGGAGCUUCCCAUACGGGUUGAAGCAUGACCGUAAGGACAUGUGGACAGUAUGGGAGUGAGAAUGUUGGCAUGAGUAGCGAGAUGUGGGUGAGAAUCCCACAGGCC